UGUGUGUCAGAAGCGACUUCAGAACAUACUGCAAGUUGUUUCUGGUGUGAGAGAAUUGGCCGUCUACAGAGACGUUGCCUAGGGGACACCCCAAUGUGUUACCAUCUUGCAGGGAGGCUUCUUUCAUGUCCCCAACCAGGAUUCGAACUGGCAACCUUCAGGUCAGCAGUCCAGCCGGUAUAAGGGUUUCUUAAGAGCCUAUUGUGGGAGCUGCAGUCCAAAGCACCUGGAGGGCCGAAGUGUGUCCAUGGCUGGGUUAACCCAUUGCGCCACCGCGGCUCCAGCUGGGGAGGGAGAGGGAACUGAAAGCACUGUCUCCACAGAGGCUCAUAGAAGGACUAGUCUAUCUAGCCUAGUCAAGUCCUCAUCGAGGGAUGUCAACAGACUUUACCUGUGCAGAAAAUCAAGAGGCAGAGGGCUUCUGCAAGUGAAACAAAUGGUAGAGGAAGAGACUGGCAGAUUAUGUGAAAGACAGUCAAGAACCAACACUGAAGGAAGUCAAUAGUAGAAAAAUGCUUAAAGUGGAAAAGACUUAUUUGAAUACUGUAAAAAUACAAUGCAGAGCAGAAGAGAAAACUGGCAAAAGAAAGCUCUUCAUGGACAAUUCCUGGGAAAAAUUGAGAGCAGAAUUGACUAGGAAAAAACAUGUAUGUGGCUCACAAAUGGAACUUUGAAAAAGGAGACCGUGGGCACGAUUCUUGCAGCCCAAGAACAAGCAAUUAGAACAAGUGCCAUCAAACCCAGUCCCAAGUGUAGAUUCUGUGACGUAAUGAAAAAUCAACAUGUGUAGUCCAUGCACUGCCUUGCCAAAGAAAGAAGAUAUGUGCCAUGAACAUUAAAGAACAAGUGGUUUAUCCUUCUUAAAUCCAGAACAACAUAUGUACAAUGUGAUCAGUUGCACCAACUCACAUAAUGUCCUUUCAUGGGAGAUUUAAAAUAGUCUUUCCUUUGUCCAUGUGGAUAAAUUCUUUUCAGUAGCUCAUGAAGCAAGAGCACACUUCAAACUCUCUCUCUCUCUCUCUCUCUCUCUUUCUCUUUCUCUCUCUCCCUCCCCCCCCCUCUCUCUCUCUCUCUCUCUCUCUCCCCUUCUCUCUUCAAACUUUCUGUGCCUGCUUAGCUCAAGCCUGAACAAAAGCAACAGAAUCAAAAACUCCCAGGCUUAAUCAGCUCUCCAGACAUGGCUCAACCAACUGGCUUCAUGCAUCUUAUUUGGCAUUUGACACACAUUAACUGAUUUCUUACACAUUGUAACAGACUCUGCAAGGAAGCAGACAAAAGGAUGGAUCACAUCCUCAGCUGCUGCAAGAAGACUGCGCAGACAGUCUACAAGCAGAGGCAUAAUACCGUUGCUCAAAUGAUCCAUUGGAACUUGUACCACAAAUACCAUCUGCCUGUGACAAAGAACUGAUGGGAUCACAAGCCUAAAAAAGUUACAGAAAAUGAACACAUCAAACUACUCCGGGACUUCCGAAUUCAGACUGACAGAGCUUUGAGCGCAAUCUCUUGACCUCACAUAUUUUAAAAAACUAACUAUGGAUCCUCAAUGUUGCAGUCCCAGGUGACAGCAGAUUUGAUGAGAAGUAACUGGAAAAGCUGACAUGAUAGGAAGAUUUAAAGAUUGAACUGCAAAGACUCUGACACAAGCCAGGAAACGGGGUCCCAGUGGUGAUCGGUACACUGGAUGCAGUGCCUACAGACCUUGGCCGGCACUUGAAAACAAUUGGCGCUGACCAUAGUACUGUUGUGACUCAGCCACAGCAUAGCCAGAGUGAGGAUGAGGAUUCUGGGUUUCAGAUACAAGAGCCAGAUGAUGGGAUGCAGAAUGAAUUGCAGGAUGAAUUUCAGGAUGUUGGCAUGGGAAUGGGAAUAAUACAGGCUGAUUCAGAGGCUCAAGAAAUGUAGCUUGAGCAGAAUGAACUGUUGACCCAGCCGGCCAUAGAUAACAGCCAGGAUGACAUUCCCAUGGGAAUUAAUGAGCAAGAGAGGUUUCAAGCUCCCGUGUCGCCAGCCCCAGUUUAGGUGCAAGAUAACAAGGACCUUGAAGGGACGCCAUCAUCAUCUAGGGCGGACUGGUUGUUAUGGAAGGGAGUACAGCCCGAAGGAGUGUAAGAUUGGCAGGGAAGAGAGAGGCCUUCACAGGAAAGAGAAAUCCAUUUUUGGGUUGCUUUUAAAAGUGUGUGUUUUAAGAUAGAUUCUUGUCAAAGAAAAUUCUUGCUUCAUCUGAGUGGAUGUUCCUGGUUCAUGCCUAAGAGAAGUUUCCUGGAUCUUUGUAACCUUUGGGCCUUUGUUCUUUGGGAUCUAUUGUCUACUGUUUUGGCUUAUGAAUUAUUGGAUUUCUAUGGCUUAUGGACUAAUGGGUUUUUAUGGCUUAUGAACUAUUGGAUUCCUAUUGACUUUUUUACUGCAACUUUGAAAACCUUAUAACUGCCUGCUUUGAUAUAUAUUUGCUUUUACUCAAUAAAACUACAAAAGACUUCCUUCUGGGUGUCUAUAGCAAGGUGAACUAUUCUGAGGUGCGACAAGUACCAUCUGUCAGCUUCAAAAGGCCAUCCUACUCAGAUCUGCAUGCAUGCAUUAUUCGCCAGUACAUCGAAGUGUCCAACAUGUGAUCAAAUACAACAGCCAGCAUGGUGAUCUUGUCAUGUAUCAAAUAAUAAUAAUAUUUUUAUCCCA